rnacentral:rRNA from 1 species
UACGAAGGGGGCUAGCGUUGCUCGGAAUCACUGGGCGUAAAGGGCGCGUAGGCGGCCGUUCAAGUCGGGGGUGAAAGCCUGUGGCUCAACCACAGAAUGGCCCUCGAUACUGGAUGGCUCGAGACCGGAAGAGGUUGGUGGGACUGCGAGUGUAGAGGUGAAAUUCGUAGAUAUUCGCAAGAACACCAGUGGCGAAGGCGGCCAACUGGUCCGGUUCUGACGCUGAGGCGCGAAAGCGUGGGGAGCAAACAGG